ensembl:lincRNA
GUGAAUUCAGAGAAAUUCCUUGGCUCCUGAUUCUCACUUUUACUGUCUACAGAAUGGUGAAAGUGACACAUUUCAGAUUUGGAAGUCUCACAUGGCAGGAUGUAGUCUGUAAAUUGCAAAGCAUUAUGUAUCUGUGGGGACAUAGUUAGAACUGUAAACAUGGCCACAGAUUGGAUAUGGGAGUCAAAUGCGAAGAGGAGGUCAUGCUCACUCCAAGAACUGCAGACAAGCGGGAGUAGCAGGGUCUGGGAGAGACUACAGCUGUGGUAUAAGGAGGCGCCCUGGCUGCUGGAGAGAGAUUUCUGGAGUCAUCUAGGAGUUUUGCUGAGAACCAAAAGCGCUGGGGAAGAAGAGGUGAGAAGAAGCAGAAAUGAAGCUCCAGCAAGUAGUCUUACAAGGCUGCAGACAUGGAACAUUGGUUUUGCUUAUUUAUCUCGAUCCAGUAGAUGGUCCUGUCUUGGGCUGGUGGUCUUUCAUGCCACACAGUCAUGCAUAUUUUCACUGUGUUAAAUAAAUAUUUAAGAAAUAAUAAUUGAUCACAUAAUGAAGUUUGGAGGUUGACCUGGCCCCUUACAUC